GGAUGCUUAGCUUAAGGGUAGAGCGUUGUACAAUUGGUGCAAUGGUAGAAGUUCAAAUCUUCUAGUAUCCA